rnacentral:lncRNA from 1 species
AUUCAAUAUGAAGCUAGAAUUAAUUAUAGGAAUAGAUUAUGCUGGAGCCCAGCCAUCUUGAGAUGAACCAUACGACCCUUUACAGGACUCUUCUGGUCAUAGCUCCGCAGUGCCACACGAUGGCAGCAUUUCUGAAAAAAGAUUUCAGACCACAAUCUGGUUCUACCAAUUUUCUUAAUUCCAGCGGGAUAGAACACUCCUGUAUUUAAUGACAGGACUAUAUACAGCUGUGGAGCUCUCCAUUUCUUGGAAUGCCAGUCAGGACACGGCAAGAAGAUGGCCAUCUGUGAACCAGAAAGAGAGCCCUCAGCAGAACUCAACCAUGCUGGCACCCGGAUCCUGGACUUCCCAGCCUCCAGACUGUGAGAAAUAAGUCUCUGUUGUUCAUGCCACCCUGUCUAUGGGAUUGUGUUACAGCAGCCCAAACGGACUAAGAUGAUGGCACUGAUGUCGAGUCUGUGUGCAGCAUACCCAUAUUGUCCUGUGUUACAGAUUAUAUUUUCCAAAGAUGGCUGCAACAAUAUCUUGCAGCAUCCCACGUGUGCUCUCCUUACAGGGUAACGCUGCCAUCCCUCCCAUUAAAGGGGACUCGAAGUCCACUCUCCUCGAAGACGGAGGGCCUCUGUGACUUCCUUGACCAAGAGAGUUGGUUGAAAGUGAUGCUAUGUGAUUUAUGAGGUCAUAAAAAUACAUAUUUCUAUCAUGUUUUCUUGGCACAUAUGUUUUCAAAAAAGUCAGCCGCCAUAUAAACAGUCCAUCUUCCCUGAGGUGCCGUACUGUAAGGAAGCCCAAGCUAGCCCAUGCAGAGAGACCACAUGCAGAAACUCUGAAACCAAAUGGACAGAGUGGGGGUGGUGGUGCCUGGUUAUCACCCAGGCGCCCAG